rnacentral:rRNA from 1 species
CAGUAGCCACGGUAAUACGUAGGUGGCAAGCGUUGUCCGGAUUUAUUGGGCGUAAAGCGAGCGCAGGCGGUUUCUUAAGUCUGAUGUGAAAGCCCCCGGCUCAACCGGGGAGGGUCAUUGGAAACUGGGAGACUUGAGUGCAGAAGAGGAGAGUGGAAUUCCAUGUGUAGCGGUGAAAUGCGUAGAUAUAUGGAGGAACACCAGUGGCGAAGGCGGCUCUCUGGUCUGUAACUGACGCUGAGGCUCGAAAGCGUGGGGAGCGAACAGGAUUAGAUCCCGUGUAGUCCCUGUCUCUUAUACA